UUUUUGGAAUUGAAAGAUCCCACACAAAGAGACCCUUACUCAAGUCUUGGGAAAUCGCGGACCCCAGACACAGAGAGACCA
rnacentral:pre_miRNA from 14 species